rnacentral:rRNA from 1 species
GAUGAACGCUGGCGGCGUGCCUAAUACAUGCAAGUCGAGCGAACAGACGAGGAGCUUGCUCCUCUGACGUUAGCGGCGGACGGGUGAGUAACACGUGGAUAACCUACCUAUAAGACUGGGAUAACUUCGGGAAACCGGAGCUAAUACCGGAUAACAUGUUGAACCGCAUGGUUUAACAGUGAAAGACGGUCUUGCUGUCACUUAUAGAUGGAUCCGCGCCGCAUUAGCUAGUUGGUAAGGUAACGGCUUACCAAGGCAACGAUGCGUAGCCGACCUGAGAGGGUGAUCGGCCACACUGGAUCUGAGACACGGUCCAUACUCCUACGGGAGGCAGCAGUAGGGAAUCUUCCGCAAUGGGCGAAAGCCUGACGGAGCAACGCCGCGUGAGUGAAGAAGGUCUUCGGAUCGUAAAACUCUGUUAUUAGGGAAGAACAAAUGUGUAAGUAACUAUGCACGUCUUGACGUCACCUAAUCAGAAAGCCACGGCUAACUACGUG